GCUAGGAUGAACGCUAGCGACAGGCUUAACACAUGCAAGUCGAGGGGCAGCAUAAAAGUAGCAAUACUUGGUGGCGACCGGCGCACGGGUGAGUAACGCGUAUGCAACCUACCUAUCAGAGGGGAAUAACCCGGCGAAAGUCGGACUAAUACCGCAUAAAACAGGGGCACCUCAUGGUGAUAUUUGUUAAAGAAAUUCGCUGAUAGAUGGGCAUGCGUUCCAUUAGGUAGUUGGUGAGGUAACGGCUCACCAAGCCGACGAUGGAUAGGGGAACUGAGAGGUUGGUCCCCCACACUGGUACUGAGACACGGACCAGACUCCUACGGGAGGCAGCAGUGAGGAAUAUUGGUCAAUGGGCGGGAGCCUGAACCAGCCAAGUCGCGUGAAGGAAGAAGGAUCUAUGGUUCGUAAACUUCUUUUGCAGGGGAAUAAAGUGCAGGACGUGUCCUGUUUUGUAUGUACCCUGAGAAUAAGGAUCGGCUAACUCCGUGCCAGCCGCCGC
rnacentral:rRNA from 1 species